rnacentral:rRNA from 1 species
GACGAACGCUGGCGGCGUGCUUAAAACAUGCAAGUCGAACGGACUUCUCAUGAAGCUUGCGAUUGAGAAGUUAGUGGCGGACGGGUGAGUAACGCGUGGGCAACCUGCCCCUGAGCCCGGGAUAACAGUUCGAAAGGACUGCUAAGACCGGAUAUACUUGCGGUGAAGCAUUUCACUGCAAGGAAAGGGAACGCUCAGGGAUGGGCCCGCGUCCCAUUAGCUAGUUGGUGAGGUAACGGCCCACCAAGGCGACGAUGGGUAGCCGGCCUGAGAGGGUGAACGGCCACACUGGGACUGAGACACGGCCCAGACUCCUACGGGAGGCAGCAGUUGGGAAUCUUCGGCAAUGCGCGCAAGCCUGACCGAGCAACGCCGCGUGAGUGAUGAAGGUUUUCGGAUUGUAAAGCUCUGUCUUCCGGGACGAUAAUGACGGUACCGGAGGAGGAAGCCACGGCUAACUACGUG